UGGAUUUGAACAUGUAUUGCUGCUGAUUUUUGCCCUUCAAUUUUCCUAUCUUAGAACUUGUGUCUUAGAAAUGCUACAUAUUUGAUUGAUACUUGCGUAUUUCAAUAUCAGUUAGCUAUCUGCUUUGCAUAGUGUUUGGAACCAAUGGGUUCGUUUGCUUGUUUGCACUCCUUUCUCCUUAAGCGCUUCGUAUUCCUCUUGUUCAGUCCAAAAAUAUUUAAUAUUAUCAUUAUUGUUUUGUUUUAUUUUCACCAGCCAUGGCUGAAGCAGCAGGCAUG
rnacentral:misc_RNA from 1 species